GCGGCCCCCGCCUCGGCGCCCCGCCGGCAUCCUCAGGCCCGGCCUCGUGAGCUGCCCUUUACUGUGGGGGCCCUGGCUCCCCUUCCUCACCUAAAAUUCUCUCUGCGUCCCCUCCCUCCCUGGCGCCUGGAGCCGCAUCCAGCCCGCGGUCCCUUCGCCCGACCUGGGUGGCAUGCGGUCCUCCCUCGCCCCUUGCUUGGGUUCCUGCGCCCCUAGUCCUAGCUCCCCUCUUUUGUAUCCCCCUUUAAUCCCCCAUCCCCCCAUUCAACCCAACUUCAGCCCCCGCGCUGCGCCCCCCUUCCCUGGCCCGGCUCGAUUGGCCGCUUCCUGAGCUGUCAGACUUGAGUCCGGCGCUCUUAUUGGGCGAUUCUCGGGCCGGGCGGCUGUGCCAAAGGAGGGCGCACCGGGCCGGGGGCGCCCAGGCAGCGACUGCCGCAGGGAGCCGAAGACCAGAGUCCCUGGAGGGCCAGAGGGGCCCAAGAGCCAGACCCGGAAAUGGACGGGAGAGAUGGAGAGACUGAGGAUCUCUGAGGCCCAGGAAGACAGUUACGGGAAAGAUGGAGAUGCAGUUGGUGAGGCCGAUGCAACCAGGGCUGGGCGGACAGGAAUGCUUUGGUGGAUAGUUACAGAGCAAGAACCCCGCAGACAGCAUUACGAACACCUGGCGUUUGUGAAGAGCUCUCUCUGCUCGUUCUCCUGCUGGAAGUUCCCGCAGCCUAAACUCUGGACAGAUGGGGAACAAUCACCUCUAAUCCCAGGAGAGAGAAACAAGCUUCACUUUCUUCCUUCAGCUCUCCCUGUGGAGGUUCUGACAAAGAGACUAGAGGCCUGG
rnacentral:lncRNA from 1 species